rnacentral:rRNA from 1 species
GUAAUGUCUGGGAAACUGCCUGAUGGAGGGGGAUAACUACUGGAAACGGUGGCUAAUACCGCAUAACGUCGCAAGACCAAAGAGGGGGACCUUCGGGCCUCUUGCCAUCAGAUGUGCCCAGAUGGGAUUAGCUUGUUGGUGAGGUAACGGCUCACCAAGGCGACGAUCCCUAGCUGGUCUGAGAGGAUGACCAGCCACACUGGAACUGAGACACGGUCCAGACUCCUACGGGAGGCAGCAGUGGGGAAUAUUGCACAAUGGGCGCAAGCCUGAUGCAGCCAUGCCGCGUGUAUGAAGAAGGCCUUCGGGUUGUAAAGUACUUUCAGCGGGGAGGAAGGUGUUGUGGUUAAUAACCACAGCAAUUGACGUUACCCGCAGAAGAAGCACCGGCUAACUCCGUGCCAGCAGCCGCGGUAAUACGGAGGGUGCAAGCGUUAAUCGGAAUUACUGGGCGUAAAGCGCACGCAGGCGGUCUGUCAAGUCGGAUGUGAAAUCCCCGGGCUCAACCUGGGAACUGCAUUCGAAACUGGCAGGCUUGAGUCUUGUAGAGGGGGGUAGAAUUCCAGGUGUAGCGGUGAAAUGCGUAGAGAUCUGGAGGAAUACCGGUGGCGAAGGCGGCCCCCUGGACAAAGACUGACGCUCAGGUGCGAAAGCGUGGGGAGCAAACAGGAUUAGAUACCCUGGUAGUCCACGCCGUAAACGAUGUCUACUUGGAGGUUGUGCCCUUGAGGCGUGGCUUCCGGAGCUAACGCGUUAAGUAGACCGCCUGGGGAGUACGGCCGCAAGGUUAAAACUCAAAUGAAUUGACGGGGGCCCGCACAAGCGGUGGAGCAUGUGGUUUAAUUCGAUGCAACGCGAAGAACCUUACCUGGUCUUGACAUCCACAGAACUUUCCAGAGAUGGAUUGGUGCCUUCGGGAACUGUGAGACAGGUGCUGCAUGGCUGUCGUCAGCUCGUGUUGUGAAAUGUUGGGUUAAGUCCCGCAACGAGCGCAACCCUUAUCCUUUGUUGCCAGCGGUUAGGCCGGGAACUCAAAGGAGACUGCCAGUGAUAAACUG